rnacentral:rRNA from 1 species
GACGAACGCUGGCGGCGUGCCUAAUACAUGCAAGUAGAACGCACAGUUUAUACCGUAGCUUGCUACACCAUAGACUGUGAGUUGCGAACGGGUGAGUAACGCGUAGGUAACCUGCCUGGUAGCGGGGGAUAACUAUUGGAAACGAUAGCUAAUACCGCAUAAUAUUAAUUAUUGCAUGAUAAUUGAUUGAAAGAUGCAACUGCAUCACUACCAGAUGGACCUGCGUUGUAUUAGCUAGUAGGUGAGGUAACGGCUCACCUAGGCGACGAUACAUAGCCGACCUGAGAGGGUGAUCGGCCACACUGGGACUGAGACACGGCCCAGACUCCUACGGGAGGCAGCAGUAGGGAAUCUUCGGCAAUGGACGAAAGUCUGACCGAGCAACGCCGCGUGAGUGAAGAAGGUUUUCGGAUCGUAAAGCUCUGUUGUAAGAGAAGAACGGGUGUGAGAGUGGAAAGUUCACACUGUGACGGCAUCUUACCAGAAAGGGACGGCUAACUACGUG